AGAGUUUGAUCCUGGCUCAGGAUGAACGCUGGCGGCGUGCCUAAUACAUGCAAGUCGAACGAACUUCCGUUAAUUGAUUAUGACGUACUUGUACUGAUUGAGAUUUUAACACGAAGUGAGUGGCGAACGGGUGAGUAACACGUGGGUAACCUGCCCAGAAGUAGGGGAUAACACCUGGAAACAGAUGCUAAUACCGUAUAACAGAGAAAACCGCAUGGUUUUCUUUUAAAAGAUGGCUCUGCUAUCACUUCUGGAUGGACCCGCGGCGUAUUAGCUAGUUGGUGAGGUAAAGGCUCACCAAGGCAGUGAUACGUAGCCGACCUGAGAGGGUAAUCGGCCACAUUGGGACUGAGACACGGCCCAGACUCCUACGGGAGGCAGCAGUAGGGAAUCUUCCACAAUGGACGCAAGUCUGAUGGAGCAACGCCGCGUGAGUGAAGAAGGGUUUCGGCUCGUAAAGCUCUGUUGUUAAAGAAGAACGUGGGUAAGAGUAACUGUUUACCCAGUGACGGUAUUUAACCAGAAAGCCACGGCUAACUACGUGCCAGCAGCCGCGGUAAUAC
rnacentral:rRNA from 1 species